GAUGAAGAACGUAGCGAAAUGCGAUAAGUAAUGUGAAUUGCAGAAUUCAGUGAAUCAUCGAAUCUUUGAACGCACAUUGCGCCCGCCAGUAUUCUGGCGGGCAUGCCUGUCUGAGCGUCAUUUCAACCCUCACGCCCCUAGGGCGUGGUGUUGGGGAUCGGCCAAGGCCCGCAAGGGACGGCCGGCCCCUAAAUCUAGUGGCGGACCCAUCGUGGCCUCCCCUGCGAAGUAGUAAUAUAUUCCGCAUCGGAUAGCGAUGAGCCCCUGCCGUUAAACCCCCAACUCUUUCAAGGUUGACCUCAGAUCAGGUAGGAAUACCCGCUGAACUUAAGCAUACAAUAAGCGGAGGA
rnacentral:misc_RNA from 1 species